UCAAGUUAUUAAGGGUGCAGGGCGGAUGCCUUGGCACUAGGAGCCGAUGAAGGACGUGAUAAGCUGCGAUAAGCUUCGGGGAGUUGCACGUAAACUUUGAUCCGAAGAUUUCCGAAUGAGGAAACUCACUUAGAGUAAUGUCUAAGUAUCAUUAAGUGAAUACAUAGCUUAAUGAGGGGAACUCAGGGAACUGAAACAUCUAAGUACCUGAAGGAAGAGAAAGAAAUUCGAUUCCGUAAGUAGCGGCGAGCGAACGCGGAAGAGCCCAAACCAAUAAAGUUUUCUUUAUUGGGGUUGCGGACAUAUCAUAACGAAGAGGUAUCGUAAUUGAAGAGGUUUGGAAAGACCCACCACAGAAGGUAAUAGUCCUGUAUGUUAAACGAGAAAACUUUAGAUAUGAUCCAGAGUACCACGGGACACGUGAAACCCUGUGGGAAGCAGGAGGGACCACCCUCCAAGGCUAAAUACUACCUAGUGACCGAUAGCGUAUAGUACCGUGAGGGAAAGGUGAAAAGAACCCCGGGAGGGGAGUGAAAUAGAACCUGAAACCCUGCACUUACAAGCUGUGGAAGCACAUUUCUUGUGUGACCGCGUACUUUUUGUAGAACGGGCCAACGAGUUACGUUAAGUAGCAAGGUUAAGCACUUAAGGUGUGGAGCCGUAGCGAAAGCGAGUUUUAACUGAGCGUUCAGUUACUUGACGUAGACCCGAAACCGGGCGACCUACCCAUGAGCAGGAUGAAGCGAAAGUAAAAUUUCGUGGAGGUCCGAACCCACGAGCGUUGAAAAGCUCGGGGAUGACUUGUGGGUAGCGGUGAAAUUCCAAUCGAGCCCGGAGAUAGCUGGUUCUCCCCGAAAUAGCUUUAGGGCUAGCCUCAAGGUGAGAGAUACGGAGGUAGAGCACUGAAUGUCCUAGGGGGUAUUGCACCUACCGAAGACUAUCAAACUCCGAAUGCCGUCAUCUUAUACUUGGGAGUCAGACUGUGGGUGAUAAGAUUCAUAGUCGAAAGGGCAACAGCCCAGAUCGUCAGCUAAGGUCCCUAAAUGUAAGUUAAGUGGUAAAGGAUGUGGGAUUGCACAGACAACCAGGAUGUUGGCUUAGAAGCAGCCACUCAUUCAAAGAGUGCGUAAUAGCUCACUGGUCGAGUGAUCCUGCGCCGAAGAUUUCCGGGGCUAAAACUUACUACCGAAGCUACGGCAUCAUUAUGAUGGGUAGGGGAGCUUCCCAUACGGGUUGAAGCAUGACCGUAAGGACAUGUGGACAGUAUGGGAGUGAGAAUGUUGGCAUGAGUAGCGAGAUGUGGGUGAGAAUCCCACAGGCCGUAAACCCAAGGUUUCCAGGGGAAGGUUCGUCCGCCCUGGGUUAGUCGGGACCUAAGCUGAGGCCGAAAGGCGUAGGUGAUGGACAACAGGUUGAUAUUCCUGUACUACCGAUAACCGUUUGAGAGAUGGGAUGACACAGUAGGAUAAGCUAAGCACACUGUUGGUUAUGUGUGCCCAAGCAUUGAGGCAGUCAGAGUAGGUAAAUCCGCUUUGAUAAUGCUGGGAUGUGAUGGGGAGCGAAAUUUAGUAGCGAAGUAGCUGAUUUCACACUGUCAAGAAAAGUCUCUAUCGAGGUUAAAGGUACCCGUACCGCAAACCGACACAGGUGGGUGAGGAGAGUAUCCUAAGGCCCGCGAGAGAACUGUUGUUAAGGAACUCGGCAAAAUGACCCCGUAACUUAGGGAUAAGGGGUGCCACCAUCCGGUGGCCGCAGAGAAUAGGCCCAAGCGACUGUUUACCAAAAACAUAGGUUUCUGCUAAGUCGCAAGACGAUGUAUAGGAGCUGACGCCUGCCCGGUGCUGGAAGGUUAAGGGGAUCUGUUAGAGCAAUCGAAGCAGUGAACUUAAGCCCCAGUAAACGGCGGCCGUAACUAUAACGGUCCUAAGGUAGCGAAAUUCCUUGUCGGGUAAGUUCCGACCCGCACGAAAGGCGUAACGAUUUGGGCACUGUCUCAACAACAGACUCGGUGAAAUUGUAAUUCCGGUGAAGAUGCCGGAUACCUGCGACAGGACGGAAAGACCCCAUGGAGCUUUACUGUAGCUUGACAUUGGGUCUUGGUACUACAUGUACAGGAUAGGUGGGAGGCUUUGAAACCAGGACGCCAGUUUUGGCGGAGCCAUCCUUGGGAUACCACCCUUGUAGUACUGGGACUCUAACCAUAGGCCAUGAAUCUGGUCUUGGGACACUGUCAGGUGGGCAGUUUGACUGGGGCGGUCGCCUCCCAAAAGGUAACGGAGGCGCUCAAAGGUUCUCUCAGUACGGUCGGAAAUCGUACGUAGAGUGUAAAGGCAAAAGAGAGCUUGAUUGCAAGACAUACAGGUCGAGCAAGGAUGAAAAUCGGACUUAGUGAUCCGGUGGUUCUGCGUGGAAGGGCCAUCGCUCAACGGAUAAAAGCUACCCUGGGGAUAACAGGCUUAUCUCCCCCAAGAGUCCACAUCGACGGGGAGGUUUGGCACCUCGAUGUCGGCUCAUCACAUCCUGGGGCUGUAGUAGGUCCCAAGGGUUGGGCUGUUCGCCCAUUAAAGUGGUACGCGAGCUGGGUUCAGAACGUCGUGAGACAGUUCGGUCCCUAUCCGUCGCAGGCGUAGGAAAUUUGAGAAGACCUGUCCUUAGUACGAGAGGACCGGGAUGGACGUACCUCUGGUGUACCAGUUGUUCUGCCAAGGGCAUGGCUGGGUAGCUAUGUACGGAAUGGAUAAGCGCUGAAAGCAUCUAAGCGCGAAGCCAACUUCAAGAUAAGAUUUCCCACCGCAAGGGUAAGACCCCAGAAAGACUAUCUGGUUGAUAGGUCGAAGGUGUAAGUGCAGCAAUGUAUUUAGCUUAUCGAUACUAAUAGGUCGAGGACUUGACCAA
rnacentral:rRNA from 1 species